UAGCGUAUAUUAAAGUUGUUGCAGUUAGAACGCUCGUAGUCGGAUUUCGGGGCGUUCCGACCGGUCUGCCGAUGGGUACGCACUGGUCGGCGCGUCCUUCCUUCCGGAGACCGUGCCUACUCUUAACUGAGCGGGGGCGGGAGACGGAUCGUUUACUUUGAAAAAAUCAGAGUGUUUCAAGCAGGCAGCUCGCUCUUGCAUGGAUUAGCAUGGGAUAAUGAAAUAGGACUUUGGUGCUAUUUUGUUGGUUUCGAACACCGAAGUAAUGAUGAGAAGGGACAGUCAGGGGCACUCGUAUUCCGCCGAGAGAGGUGAAAUUCUCAGACCAGCGGAAGACGAACCACUGCGAAAGCAUUUG
rnacentral:rRNA from 1 species